UACCUCUCAGGAUGUACCUGGAGAGUUUCCAGUCCUCUACCAGUCUCAACUAUGGGAGGGUGAGUCAAGCAGAGGCAUAUCCAUUCCAUUCCUAGCUUGGCCAGUGGCUAGCAAGUGGAAAACAAUCUGCUAUAAGU
rnacentral:snoRNA from 1 species